rnacentral:lncRNA from 10 species
UCUCCUUGAGACCUCCUCAGACCACCUUGGCCCACCUUGACUUUCUCAGAUUCUAAGUGGCUCAGUGAAAUUAAGGAGAAGAUGGAUUUAUUUAAAAAUAGAGUUAAGAGGAGAUGAUAACAAGAGAAGAAAUGAAAAGGAAGCUGGCAGAACCAAGAAAAGAUGUUAAGGAGAAAAAUAAAACCAUUGCGCAACUGAAGACCGCAUGU